UGCCUAUUAGCUAGCCCCACCCCCCAACCACAACACACCAUCCUAAAUACACCCAAACACACAAAACCAAAUUAACCAAACCAUUUUCCCCUCCUAGUAUGGGCGACAGAAAAGAACCCCGGGAGCAAUAGAAAAAGUACCGCAAGGGAACGCUGAAAGAGAGAUGAAACAGACCAGUAAAGCCCAGAAAAGCAGAGAUUACCCCUCGUACCUUUUGCAUCAUGAUUUAGCCAGAACCAGUCAAGCAAAGGGACCUUUAGUUUGACACCCCGAAACUAAGUGAGCUACUCCAAGACAGCCUAUGUAGGGCGAACCCGUCUCUGUGGCAAAAGAGUGGGAAGAGCUUUGAGUAGAGGUGACAGACCUACCGAACUUAGUUAUAGCUGGUUGCUUGAGAAUUGAAUAUAAGUUCAGCCUCUCAGAUUCUCUAUUCACCAACAUCAUGCCAGAAUCGAUACAUUAUGUUAUUAAAGAAACUAGGAGAGUUAGUCAAAGGGGGGACAGCCCCUUUGAAUAAAGACACAACUUUCCCAGGAGGGUAAAGAUCACAGCCCUUAAGGAUAAAUGUUUUGGUGGGCCUAAAAGCAGCCAUCCUAAUAGAAAGCGUUAAAGCUCAAACAUCCCCAUUAUCCCCUAAUCCUGACAACCAAAUCUUAUCCCCCUAGCCUUACCAAGCCGCCCCAUGCAAACAUGGGAAUGACCAUGCUAAUAUGAGUAAUAAGAGAGGACACCCUCUCUCCCUGCACAUGUGUAAAUCGGAACGGACUACCCACCGAACAUUAACGGCCCCAAACAAAGAGGGAACUGGGCAAAUACCAUAACUUACUAGAAACCCACCCAACCAAACACCGUUGACCCUACACAGGAGUGCUCACUAGGAAAGACUAAAAGAAAGAGAAGGAACUCGGCAAACCACCCAAGCCUCGCCUGUUUACCAAAAACAUCGCCUCUUGCAAAAAUAAAGAAUAAGAGGUCCCGCCUGCCCAGUGACUUUUAGUUCAACGGCCGCGGUAUAUUGACCGUGCAAAGGUAGCGUAAUCACUUGUCUUUUAAAUGAAGACCCGUAUGAAUGGCACCACGAGGGCUUAGCUGUCUCCUUUUUCCAGUCAAUGAAAUUGAUCUCCCCGUGCAGAAGCGGGGAUAAUAACAUAAGACGAGAAGACCCUGUGGAGCUUUAGACACUAAGACAGCCCAUCCUACUACUCUCCUUAAAUAAUCGGCCUAAACAAAUGACCCCUGUCCAAAUGUCUUCGGUUGGGGCGACCAUGGGGAAAUACAAAACCCCCACGCGGAAUGAGAGAACACCUAUACUUUAACCCCUCCCUCUCAAAACAAAGAGUCACAGCUCUAAGGAACAGAACUUCUGACCGAACAUGAUCCGGGUAAUACCGAUCGACGGACCAAGUUACCCCAGGGAUAACAGCGCAAUCCUCUUCUAGAGUCCAUAUCGACAAGAGGGUUUACGACCUCGAUGUUGGAUCAGGACAUCCUAAUGGUGCAGCCGCUAUUAAGGGUUCGUUUGUUCAACGAUUAAAGUCCUACGUGAUCUGAGUUCAGACCGGAGUAAUCCAGGUCAGUUUCUAUCUAUGAACUGUUCUUUUCUAGUACGAAAGGACCGAAAAGAAGAGGUCCAUACCUUAGGUACACCUCCCCCUAACUUAAUGAAAACAUCUCAACUAAGCAAAAGGGCAUACCACAUUCACCACGAAAAAAGUGGCC
rnacentral:rRNA from 1 species